rnacentral:rRNA from 1 species
AGACCCGAAACCCGGUGAUCUAGCCAUGGGCAGGUUGAAGGUUGGGUAACACUAACUGGAGGACCGAACCGACUAAUGUUGAAAAAUUAGCGGAUGACCUGUGGCUGGGGGUGAAAGGCCAAUCAAACCGGGAGAUAGCUGGUUCUCCCCGAAAGCUAUUUAGGUAGCGCCUCGUGAAUUCAUCUCCGGGGGUAGAGCACUGUUUCGGCUAGGGGGCCAUCCCGGCUUACCAACCCGAUGCAAACUGCGAAUACCGGAGAAUGUUAUCACGGGAGACACACGGCGGGUGCUAACGUCCGUCGUGAAGAGGGAAACAACCCAGACCGCCAGCUAAGGUCCCAAAGUCAUGGUUAAGUGGGAAACGAUGUGGGAAGGCCCAGACAGCCAGGAUGUUGGCUUAGAAGCAGCCAUCAUUUAAAGAAAGCGUAAUAGCUCACUGGUCGAGUCGGCCUGCGCGGAAGAUGUAACGGGGCUAAACCAUGCACCGAAGCUGCGGCAGCGAACGUAUCACCCAAGACAACUUUACGGAGUUGACGAUUGACGGAGCGAAGCGACGUCAAAGCGUUCAUUAAAGUCGAGUUGGCUUAGGGAUACGUUCGUUGGGUAGGGGAGCGUUCUGUAAGCCUGUGAAGGUGGCCUGUGAGGGUUGCUGGAGGUAUCAGAAGUGCGAAUGCUGACAUAAGUAACGAUAAAGCGGGUGAAAAGCCCGCUCGCCGGAAGACCAAGGGUUCCUGUCCAACGUUAAUCGGGGCAGGGUGAGUCGACCCCUAAGGCGAGGCCGAAAGGCGUAGUCGAUGGGAAACGGGUUAAUAUUCCCGUACUUGGUGUUACUGCGAAGGGGGGACGGAGAAGGCUAUGUUGGCCGGGCGACGGUUGUCCCGGUUUAAGCGUGUAGGUGUGUGUUCCAGGUAAAUCCGGUUCACUUUAACACUGAGGCGUGAUGACGAGGCACUACGGUGCUGAAGCAACAAAUGCCCUGCUUCCAGGAAAA